GGUUCGGUGGUGGAUGGUCCACGUCUGUCUCUGAUGUGUACAAUUGGUGCAAUGACUCUGAGCAGAAGAUGCCUGUUCGAACCAGAUCCGAACCA